rnacentral:rRNA from 1 species
AGUGAACGCUGGCGGUAGGCCUAACACAUGCAAGUCGAACGGCAACACAGUAAGAGCUUGCUCUUACGGGUGGCGAGUGGCGGACGGGUGAGGACUACAUCGGAAUCUACUUUUUCGUGGGGGGUAACGUAGGGAAACUUACGCUAAUACCGCAUACGACCUACGGGUGAAAGCAGGGGAUCUUCGGACCUUGUGCGACUGAAUGAGCCGAUGUCGGAUUAGCUAGUUGGCGGGGUAAAGGCCCACCAAGGCGACGAUCCGUAGCUGGUCCGAGAGGAUGGUCGGCCGCAAUGGAACUGAGACACGGUCCAGACUCCUACGGGAGGCAGCAGUGGGGAAUAUUGGACAAUGGGCGCAAGCCUGAUCCAGCCAUACCGCGUGGGUGAAGAAGGCCUUCGGGUUGUAAAGCCCUUUUGUUGGGAAAGAAAAGCAGCAGGUUAAUACCCCGCUGGUCUGACGGUACCCAAAGAAUAAGCACCGGCUAACUUCGUG